ensembl:processed_transcript
AGAGUGUCUCUUUUGGGGAACAGCUGGAGGUUGCAAACAUGGUAGAGAAAGAACUCGCAGCUGAGACCCAUCUCAGGAGGUGCCUGUCUCCUCCAGGGCCACUCAACACAUCCAAUACUGUGACACAGAUAGGCUAGCCUCCUUCUCCCUCUUUCCACCCUGUCUUUAGGAUCAUCUCCAGACAUCGAAGGGCAUCAUUAUCACGGAUAAGAACACAGAUGCUGGGGCUGGAGAGAUGGCGCAGAGGUUAAGAGCUGGCACUAAUCUUUCAGAGGACUGGAGUUUGGUUCCCAUCCCCAUGUUGGGCAGAUCAUGACGGCCUGUGACUACAGCUUCAGAGGGCCUAGAACCUUCUUCUGGAGACCCUGCAUGCUCUGCCUUCAUGUGCUCCUUCCCCUAAGACACAGACGUAAGCACACAAUCAAAAAUUUAUAACGGAAAAAAAAAAAAACAGUCACUGGUUCUGUGUGGCU